GAUGAACGCUAGCGGCAGGCUUAACACAUGCAAGUCGAGGGGCAGCGGGGAGGAAGCUUGCUUUCUCCGCCGGCGACCGGCGCACGGGUGAGUAACACGUAUGCAACCUGCCCCUGUCAGGGGGACAACCCGCCGAAAGGCGGGCUAAACCCGCGUACAUGCCACCGGGGCAUCCCGGAGGCAGGAAAGGCGUCGGCCGGACAGGGAUGGGCAUGCGGCGCAUUAGGCAGUAGGCGGGGUAACGGCCCACCUAACCGACGAUGCGUAGGGGUUCUGAGAGGAAGGUCCCCCACACUGGUACUGAGACACGGACCAG
rnacentral:rRNA from 1 species